rnacentral:rRNA from 1 species
GGAAUUUUGGACAAUGGGCGCAAGCCUGAUCCAGCAAUGCCGCGUGCAGGAAGAAGGCCUUCGGGUUAUAAACUGCUUUUGUACGGAACGAAACGGCCUGGGCUAAUACCCUGGGCUAAUGACGGUACCGUAAGAAUAAGCACCGGCUAACUACGUGCCAGCAGCCGCGGUAAUACGUAGGGUGCAAGCGUUAAUCGGAAUUACUGGGCGUAAAGCGUGCGCAGGCGGUUUUGUAAGACAGUCGUGAAAUCCCCGGGCUCAACCUGGGAAUUGCGAUUGUGACUGCAAAGCUGGAGUGCGGCAGAGGGGGAUGGAAUUCCGCGUGUAGCAGUGAAAUGCGUAGAUAUGCGGAGGAACACCGAUGGCGAAGGCAAUCCCCUGGGCCUGCACUGACGCUCAUGCACGAAAGCGUGGGGAGCAAACAGGAUUAGAUACCCUGG